AUACGUAGGGGGCUAGCGUUAUCCGGAUUUACUGGGCGUAAAGGGUGCGUAGGUGGUUUCUUAAGUCAGGAGUGAAAGGCUACGGCUCAACCGUAGUAAGCUCUUGAAACUGGGAAACUUGAGUGCAGGAGAGGAAAGUGGAAUUCCUAGUGUAGCGGUGAAAUGCAUAGAUAUCACGAAGAACUCCAAUUGCGAAGGCAGCCAUCCGGGCUACAACUGACGCUGAGGCUCGAAAGUGCGGGAAUC
rnacentral:rRNA from 1 species